CUAUCUUAGUGGCGGACGGGUGAGUAACGCGUGGGUAACCUGCCUUGCACUGGGGGAUAACACUUAGAAAUAGGUGCUAAUACCGCAUAACAGUAGGAGACGCAUGUCUUUUACUUGAAAAUUCCGGUGGUGUAAGAUGGACCCGCGUCUGAUUAGCUUGUUGGCGGGGUAACGGCCCACCAAGGCAACGAUCAGUAGCCGGCCUGAGAGGGUGAACGGCCACAUUGGGACUGAGACACGGCCCAAACUCCUACGGGAGGCAGCAG
rnacentral:rRNA from 1 species